GCUCAGAAACUUAAAGGAAGUUGACGGGGCCCGGCACAAGCGGUGGAGCACGUGGUUUAAUUCGAUGCAAACCGAAGAACCUUACCUGGGUUUGACAUGUACGUGGUACGGAUCUGAAAGGUAAAGGACUUACUCUUCGGAGUGAGAGCGUACACAGGUGCUGCAUGGCUGUCGUCAGCUCGUGUCGUGAGAUGUUGGGUUAAGUCCCGCAACGGGCGCAACCCCUGCAUUCAGUUGCCAUCGGUAAGGCCGGGCACUCUGGAUGGACUGCCGGCGACAAGCCGGAGGAAGGUGGGGACGACGUCAAGUCAUCAUGGCCCUUAUGUCCAGGGCGACACACGUGCUACAAUGGCCGGCACAACGGGAAGCGAAGGGGCGACCCUGAGCGGAUCCCACAAAAGCCGGUCUCAGUUCGGAUUGCAGUCUGCAACUCGACUGCAUGAAGUUGGAAUCGCUAGUAAUCGUGGAUCAGCCAAGCCGCGGUGAAUACGUUCCCGGGCCUU
rnacentral:rRNA from 1 species